rnacentral:rRNA from 1 species
CCUACGGGAGGCAGCAGUGGGGAAUAUUGCACAAUGGGCGAAAGCCUGAUGCAGCGACGCCGCGUGAGGGAUGACGGCCUUCGGGUUGUAAACCUCUUUCAGCAGGGAAGAAGCGCAAGUGACGGUACCUGCAGAAGAAGCACCGGCUAACUACGUGCCAGCAGCCGCGGUAAUACGUGGGGUGGCGAGCGUUGUCCGGAAUUAUUGGGCGUAAAGAAGCUCGUAGGCGGUCUGUCACGUCGGAUGUGAAAGCCCGGGGCGUUAACCCCGGGUCUGCAUUCGAUACGGGCGAGACUAGAGUGUGGUAGGGGAGAUCGGAAUUCCUGGUGUAGCGGUGAAAAUGCGCAGAUAUCAGGAGGAACACCGGUGGCGAAGGCGGAUCUCUGGGCCAUUACUGACGCUGAGGAGCGAAAAGCGUGGGGAGCGAACAGGAUUAGAUACCCUGGUAGUCCACGCCGUAAACGUUGGGAACUAGGUGUUGGCGACAUUCCACGUCGUCAGUGCGCNCGACACGACAUAAUUACCCGUCCCGUCGGGAGGGUACGGCCGGCCGACGGACGAAACUAAACUAAAGAAAGUUAAGUUAGGCGUUGAGAGNGCGACGACGACGACGAGGAGGAGGAG